rnacentral:rRNA from 1 species
UGCAAGUCGACGGAGUUAUUUUGGCAGAAGCCUUCGGGUGGACGCUGAUAUAACUUAGUGGCGAACGGGUGAGUAACACGUGAGCAACCUGCCCUUCAGAGGGGGACAACAGUUGGAAACGACUGCUAAUACCGCAUAAGACCACGGUGUGGCAUCACACAGAGGUCAAAGGAGAAAUCCGCUGAAGGAUGGGCUCGCGUCCAAUUAGCUAGAUGGUGAGGUAACGGCCCACCAUGGCGACGAUUGGUAGCCGGACUGAGAGGUUGAUCGGCCACAUUGGGACUGAGACACGGCCCAGACUCCUACGGGAGGCAGCAGUGGGGAAUAUUGCACAAUGGAGGAAACUCUGAUGCAGCGACGCCGCGUGAGGGAAGAAGGUCUUCGGAUUGUAAACCUCUGUUGUCAGGGACGAUAAUGACGGUACCUGACGAGGAAGCCACGGCUAACUACGUGCCAGCAGCCGCGGUAAAACGUAGGUGGCAAGCGUUGUCCGGAAUUACUGGGUGUAAAGGGAGCGCAGGCGGGAGAGCAAGUUGGAAGUGAAAUCUGUGGGCUCAACUCACAAAUUGCUUUCAAAACUGUUUUUCUUGAGUGGUGUAGAGGUAGGCGGAAUUCCCGGUGUAGCGGUGGAAUGCGUAGAUAUCGGGAGGAACACCAGUGGCGAAGGCGGCCUACUGGGCACUAACUGACGCUGAGGCUCGAAAGCAUGGGUAGCAA